GAAAUGCAGGAAUCAAUAGGGCGCAGGGCCCAUGGAAGGCCCAAAGGCCUUCAGCUUGGUAUGAACAAAGGAGCGUAGGCUAGGUACAGGGGGUGUAGAUAGAGAGUUCUCGUUUGAGCCCUAGGCCCAAACCUGAUCCAAUGCACAAGCACACAAAGACUUUCACAAUUCUGAAACCAAAAUAAAUCCACAAGCUAAAGCCAAAAGAAAAGCGCUUAUGUAAUAAAUAUCUUGCGAUGCGUUUUUGUUCUUCAACUUCAGAAUCUCUUCAUCAUCAAUCGAGUUCUUUGUUCAACCAUGAAAGAACAAACGAAACACAAUCUUCAAAUGAAUCCAUCACAGCGACGUGUUCUCCAUCUCUUGGCUUCACAUCAAUCGUCAUCGCGGUUCAGUGACACUCCACGGAUUCGCAACAUUCCUCAAUCAACCAUGGUUCGCGUCGUUUCGUCAUUAUCAAUUCAAAUAUUCAAGUCUUCUCUUACGCAGUCAACAACAACAGCUAUUGGAAUCCACGACGUCGAAUCACAAUGGCAUUACGGAUUCAGUUCAACGUAAUGAAGCAAGAAGAAGAAGCUUACCAGUUUCGACGCGGAGGAGAAAUCCAGAUAAAUUCUAUACACCUCUUCGGAAUCUUCACCUUUUACUCUUCAAUUCGUGCUCCUGUGCCGCGUUACUGUUUCCGCUUUUUGUGAGUUAUGUUAUUGGAGAUUCAGUUUGAGCUAUGAAAUAGGAGAUGCACAUUGCUUGGAUUGCAUUGGUUUUGGAGUGUUUUGGUCAUGAGAAGUGUGGUUGAAUAUGGAUGGUUUAGGAACUUAGAUAACAUGGUAGGAUGGUUUAGGAACUUAGAUAACAUGGUAGGAUUUGCUUGUCAAUGAAGUGUACAUUUGCAAAUUGUUUACAAUGAAACUAUGUACUUACAUGGAAACUACGUAUUAAUCAUGGAUUUUUGAAAAUGAAAGUUUGAACAUUUAUGGAUAGAAGUUUGAAAAUUGAA